rnacentral:rRNA from 1 species
CACCGCGGUUAUACGAAAGACUCAAGCUGACAAAACAUCGGCGUAAAGAGUGGUUAAAAGACUUAUAAACUAAAGCUGAACAUUUUCCGGGCCGUUUAACGCAUCCGAAGAUAAGAAUUACUAUUACGAAAGUGGCUUUAAACUUUUGAUCCCACGAAAGCUAUGAAA